rnacentral:lncRNA from 1 species
UUUUCAUUAAUUCCAAAAAAAUUCUACGUAAAUUUUCAGGUCAUUCCGAGAACUUUUAUUUCUGCGCAAAAACAACACCAUGGCAAUUCUGCUGAAAACAGCGUUAGUCCGGGUUCGUUCCAUUCAAAUCAUGCAAAUUAGAGUCCAAAACAAGGGCAAAAGAGUUCGGAAAGUAGAUACGGCGGAGACGUAUUAGCGGACGGCGUGAUCCCUGCCGGCUCUCCAC